GAGGAAUAAGCAUCGGCUAACUCCCGUGCCAGCAGCCGCGGUAAUACGGGGGAUGCAAGCGUUAUCCGGAAUCAUUGGGCGUAAAGCGCCUGUAGGUUGUUUAAUAAGUCUGUUGUUAAAGACUAGGGCUUAACCCUAGAAAAGCAAUGGAAACUACUAGACUAGAGUAUGGCAGGGGUAGAGGGAAUUUCUAGUGUAGCGGUGAAAUGCGUAGAUAUUAGAAAGAACACCGGUGGCGAAAGCGCUCUACUGGACCAUUACUGACACUCAGAGGCGAAAGCUAGGGUAGCAAAAGGGAUUAGAUACCCCUGUAGUCCUAGCCGUAAACGAUGGAUACUACAUGUUGUGCAUUAUGUACAGUAUGGUAGCUAACGCGUUAAGUAUCCCGCCUGGGGAGUACGCUCGCAAGGGUGAAACUCAAAGGAAUUGACGGGGGCCCGCACAAGCGGUGGAGCAUGUGGUUUAAUUCGAUGCAACGCGAAGAACCUUACCAGGACUUGACAUACUACAAAUUCUUUUGAGAAAAAGAAGUGCCUUCGGGAAUGUAGAUACAGGUGGUGCAUGGCUGUCGUCAGCUCGUGUCGUGAGAUGUUGGGUUAAGUCCCGCAACGAGCGCAACCCUUAUUUUUAGUUACCAAUUCGUUGGGUUCUCUAGAAAGACUGCCGGUGACAAACCGGAGGAAGGUGAGGAUGACGUCAAGUCAGCAUGCCCCUUAUGUCCUGGGCUACACACGUGCUACAAUGGUUAAGACAAAGAGUCGCGAGCUCGUGAGAGUCAGCUAAUCUCAUAAACUUAGCCCAAGUUCAGAUUGUAGGCUGCAACUCGCCUACAUGA
rnacentral:rRNA from 1 species